CAGUAGCCGCGGUAAUACGUAGGGUGCAAGCGUUAAUCGGAAUUACUGGGCGUAAAGCGUGCGCAGGCGGUUUGUUAAGACAGAUGUGAAAUCCCCGGGCUCAACCUGGGAACUGCAUUUGUGACUGGCAGGCUAGAGUAUGGCAGAGGGGGGUAGAAUUCCACGUGUAGCAGUGAAAUGCGUAGAGAUGUGGAGGAAUACCGAUGGCGAAGGCAGCCCCCUGGGCCAAUACUGACGCUCAUGCACGAAAGCGUGGGGAGCAAACAGGAUUAGAUACCCGUGUAGUCCCUGUCUCUUAUAC
rnacentral:rRNA from 1 species